GCACGAGUUCCCCCCAACGGCAGCGACGAUUGCAAACGGCAGCGGCGAUUCCAACUGCAACAGCGACCUCCGGUGACAGAGGCGACUUCCUCCGGUAUCCGUCGAAUUUCAGUCCUCAACAGGUUUGAUUCCAUCUCUUAUUUUCUACUCUCUCUUAUUUUCUUCUUUCUGUUUUUCAUCUCGAUUCCGCGUUCUUCUUCUAUCAAUCCUUCGGUGAUGAUUUAAUCAACCUAAUCUAUCUGUUCUUCUUCCAAUCAUCCCAAUACAUCUUUCUUUUAAAAUGGGAAUAGACCAUUAGAGAAUUAUAGAAUUAAAUCGUUCUGGAUUUAAUUAUGUCGUUCUUAAUUAAAUCGUUCUGGAUGCUGAACAAUACAUACCAUUAGAGAAUCAAAUGAGUGUCUACAGUUGGAGAAGUGGAUUCUGAAACAGAUUUCAAGGAUGAGUUAUAAUGUGUUGGUGAUAGUAACUGAUUUUAUUAGAAAGUACUCUUAAUGAACUAGAGGAUGAGAAGCAUUUUGGAGGAAUAAUGCUCUACCACUAUUAAAUGUUUAUCAUCCAAAUCACACAGUCGGUUGUAGGGAAUGUAGUUGAAUUUUGAUCCAACUUUUAAGCUUUGAAUAUUUUACCUUACAUACUACUCUUCUUCUGUUGAGACUUGAUUAUGUUAUUCUGAUUAUGAAUGAAUAUCAAGAUUGAUGAUUAGUAUUGAUCCGACAUUUAUUUUUAUAGCGAAUAUCUACACAUGCUGAGUAUGAAGAUACGUUCUGUGUUUUUGUUAAGAUAACUAUGUUUCUCUGGACAUGCCUGUUUUCUCUGUUAACUUUCUUAAAUAUGUAGUUGAUCUGAAAUAAACAGGAGGUUCUUUUUCUUUUCUAUCAAUCUUGAUCUGUUUAGUUAAUUUUUUCUGCAAGAGAUCGAUAGGUAAUUACUUUAACUGUAUCAGUCAUAAAAUGUUUGAUGAUUAUAUUUCCAUUUAUCCUCUUUUACACUUAUAUUUUCAGAGCCAACAUCAUCCUCUACAUAUUCUGAAUUUUCAGACUCUUAUGCUUCAAUAGUUCAACACUUCAACCUCCUCUUCACUAGCAUUCUGUGUAGCAUAUCUUCAUCUUAGACUUGACCUCCAUCUUCAAAUAAGACAUCUGAAUUAUUUUAGAAAUCUCUGAACUCCUCAUUCUGUUCAUUAAGUAAUUUAGGUGUCUCUCCCCCUCAGAAUUUUCUUUACAGGUAUUUUUGGCACUUUCUUCAUUCUUGUUUCUCAAUAAGCAAAUCCCUCUCGUUCUCUGAACUCACCCCACCUCAUAUUAAUGUGGAACUUGAAAUAAUUAAUUUGAUUAUUGGUUAAUUUGAUAUAGUUUAUUCCAAACUCACAAGUGUUGGUGCUAAAUUCACAAGUGUUGGUCAAUUUGAAAUCGACACGUCUCCAAAUUAGCAUACAAUUUUGCAUAGUAUGUUGAAUUUUGAGCAUAGAAAGUUGAUUUCAAUUUAUAAACUAUUUUAAUUAAGAAAAAAUAAAAAUAUUUUAUUUUUCUUUUCUAACUUUGCACGUCUAGAAAAAAUUUAUAAUUAAUGUUGACAAAUACCGUUACCCUAACUAGUAGCUUCUAACUUAUCAUUAAUUCCUGACCGACACAUAUUUACGUGUCCAAAAUAUUUUAUUUUAUCACACCAAAAUAAGUGGACAGACAUCGAUCAUUCCAUCUGAAGUUGGCUGAUACCUUAAUUCUAAUCAUUAAAUCCAACCUCCACAUCUGAAGUGUUCAUUUAUCCAAAAUCGCCAACCCCACAUUUCUUAUCAUUAAUUUUCACCAUUAAAUCAAACCCCAACGAAAAUUUAAAUACAAGUUGUUCAUUUUAGGUCAUAAUUUAUCUAAAUGCCAUUAAAGAUGUUUAUUAGCUUGUAAAUAAUAAUCAAAUGUAAAUCGUAUAAAUUAAGAUUUUUAUAUAAUUAAAUUGAUAUUGAUAUAAAAAGACUUUUCAUACGUCGAAAAAAAAUUUAUAAUUAAUGUUAAACAAUUUACUUGCCCUACCAAGUAAUUGCUUUUGAUCAUUUGCAAUCAAUUUGAGAUCGACCCGUGUCCAAAUUAGCAUACAAUUUUGCAUAAUAUGUUGAAUUUUGAGCACAUAAAAUAGAUUACAAUUUAUAAACUAUUUUAAUUAAGAAAAAAUAAAAGUAUUUUAUUUUUCUUUUCUAACUUUUCACGUCGAGAAAAUAUUUAUAAUUAAUGUUGACAAAUACCCUAACCCUAACUAGUUGCUUCUCACUUAUCAUUUGAUUGACACAUAUUUGCGUGUCCAAAAUAUUUUAUUUUAUCACACCAAAAUAAGUGGACAGACUUCGAUCAUACCAUCUGAAGUUGGCUGAUACCUCUAUUCUCAUCAGUAAAUCCAACCCCCACAUCUGAAGUGUUCAUUUAUCCAACCACGCCAACCCCACAUUUCUCACCAUUAAUUCUCACCAUUAAAUCAAACCCCAACCCCACAUUUAAUUACAAGUUUUUCAUUUUAGGCCAUAAUUUAUUUAAAUGCCAUUAAAUAUAUUUAUAAGCUUGUAAAUAAUAAUCAAAUAUAAAUCGUAUAAAUUAAGAUUUUUAUACAAUUAAAUUGAUUUUGAUAUAAAUAAACUUCUCAUACGUCGAUAAAAAAUUUAUAAUUAAUGUUAAACAAUUUACUUACCCUACCUAGUAAUUGCUUUUGAUCAUUUGCAAUCAAUUUGAAAUCGACACGUCUCCAAAUUAGCAUACAAUUUUGCUUAUUAUGUUGAAUUUCGAGCAUAGAAAUUUGAUUUUAAUUCAUAAACUAUUUUAAUUAAGAAAAAAUUAAAAUAUUUUAUUUUCCUUUUCUAACUUUGCACGUCGAGAAAAAAUUUAUAAUUAAUAUUGACAAAUACCGUUACCCUAACUUGUAGCUUCUCACUUAUCAUUAAUUCCUGAUCGACACAUAUUUGCGUGUCCAAAAUAUUUAUCACACAAAAAUGAGUGGACAGACAUCGAUCAUUCCAUCUGAAGUUGGCUGAUACCUUAAUUCUCAUCAUUAAAUCCAACCUCCACAUCUGAAGUGUUCAUUUAUCCAAACUCGCCAACCCCACAUUUCUUAUCAUUAAUUUUCACCAUUAAAUCAAACCCCAACGAAAAUUUAAUUACAAGUUGUUCAUUUUAGGUCAUAAUUUAUUUAAAUGCCAUUAAAUAUGUUUAUAAGCUUGUUAAUAAUAAUCAAAUGUAAAUCGUAUAAAUUAAGAUUUUUAUAUAAUUAAAUAGAUUUUGAUAUAAAAAGACUUUUCAUACGUCGAAAAAAAUUUAUAAUUAAUGUUAAACAAUUUACUUGCCCUACCUAGCUAGUAAUUGCUUUUGAUCAUUUGCAAUUAAUUUGACAUCGACACAUGUCCAAAUUAGCAUACAAUUUUGCAUAGUAUGUUGAAUUUUGAGCACAGAAAAUAGAUUACAAUUUAUAAACUAUUUUAAUUAAGAAAAAAUAAAUAAAUAAAUUUUAUUUUUCUUUUCAAACUUUUCACGUCGUGAAAAAAUUAUUAUUUAAUGUUGAUGGGGGUGAAACCCGACCAGUACUCCAAGACGCGCAAGCAAGCGCCAAGCGGGGAAAUACGCGGGAAACCGGACCGGAACUCAAGUGUGCAGAGCUCUACUUCGCUAGGAAUUCUUCUAUUCCAAAUGACCUGCCUUUAAUGAGUGGGGGAUGCCUCCUAUUUAUAGGGGUUCUUAUGGGGGUAAUCUGGUCAUUUGGGCAGUAACCGCCUAACUGAUCAGAUCGGGGCCCCAGAUCGACUUUCCAGAGAUCGACUUUCUGGGGGUCAACUUUCCUGGUGAUCGACUUUGUUCAGAAGUCGAUCCUCAGGAAAGUCGAUCUUCCUAGGAUUCGACUUGGGACCUCCCCAACCCUAGAAUAGGUACCUUAACUCAUCUUAGGCUAUCCGGAUUUCUAGUUGCUGGUAGGUUGUGACCGAGUUCGGGAUACUGUAUCACCAGUACUCCCCCCUUCUCUGCGUAUUAGAUACUUUGGGAUACGUCUUUUAGUACUAUGGUCUGUGUGUUGGACCUUGUACUAUCAGUAUUCCCCCCUCUUUGCGUGCUGGGAUGUGGGUUUUUGGUGAUGUCCCAGGAUGCGAGAUCCUCUCUCACCAGUAUUCCCCCCCUCUCUACGCCUGCGAGGUUGUAUCUAUGCUUCCACGGAGGUUGUCACGCGCUUUUGCUAACUAUUGUCCGGUUUGUCCUAGCCGAAGCAUACUCCUUGCACACCUGCCUAGCCCGAUUUCCGUGCGGAACCCUGCUUGCCCACCUUGACGCCUUGCUUGAGCUAUCUCCGAACAAUGUUCAAGUCCCCUUCCCUGUGGCGGGUUUUUAGAGUGGUCUCUUCUACUUAUUUUUUAUAAGUGAAGUUCUCUCUUUUGAGGUCUCUUGCCUCCCUCAAUCUGCUGUUUCUGCGGUUGAGGUUGGGUGUGCUUCCUCAUCUACCUAUGUUCUUCCAUAGGUGAGGAUUAUAUUUUGAAUACUUGCCCCCUCCUUUUGCUCGCCUUUCUGCGACUAAGGUUGAGCGUGAUCCCUCGUCUACCUACGUUCAUCCGUAGGUUGAGCGUGAACCGUCAUUGACCUUGAUAUUUAGGGACGGUAUUAAAAAAACCAUCCUUAAAUAAUAUGAUUUAUUUUAAUUGCGGAAUGUCGGGAAAAAAUUAGGGAUAGUAACUGAUUUUAUUAGAAAGUACUCUUAAUGAACUAGAGGAUGAGAAGCAUUUUGGAGGAAUAAUGCUCUACCACUAUUAAAUGUUUAUCAUCCAAAUCACACAGUCGGUUGUAGGGAAUGUAGUUGAAUUUUGAUCCAACUUUUAAGCUUUGAAUAUUUUACCUUACAUACUACUCUUCUUCUGUUGAGACUUGAUUAUGUUAUUCUGAUUAUGAAUGAAUAUCAAGAUUGAUGAUUAGUAUUGAUCCGACAUUUAUUUUUAUAGCGAAUAUCUACACAUGCUGAGUAUGAAGAUACGUUCUGUGUUUUUGUUAAGAUAACUAUGUUUCUCUGGACAUGCCUGUUUUCUCUGUUAACUUUCUUAAAUAUGCAGUUGAUCUGAAAUAAACAGGAGGUUCUUUUUCUUUUCUAUCAAUCUUGAUCUGUUUAGUUAAUUUUUUCUGCAAGAGAUCGAUAGGUAAUUACUUUAACUGUAUCAGUCAUAAAAUGUUUGAUGAUUAUAUUUCCAUUUAUCCUCUUUUACACUUAUAUUUUCAGAGCCAACAUCAUCCUCUACAUAUUCUGAAUUUUCAGACUCUUAUGCUUCAAUAGUUCAACACUUCAACCUCCUCUUCACUAGCAUUCUGUGUAGCAUAUCUUCAUCUUAGACUUGACCUCCAUCUUCAAAUAAGACAUCUGAAUUAUUUUAGAAAUCUCUGAACUCCUCAUUCUGUUCAUUAAGUCAUUUAGGUGUCUCUCCCCCUCAGAAUUUUCUUUACAGGUAUUUUUGGCACUUUCUUCAUUCUUGUUUCUCAAUAAGCAAAUCCCUCUCGUUCUCUGAACUCACCCCACCUCAUAUUAAUGUGGAACUUGAAAUAAUUAAUUUAAUUAUUGGUUAAUUUGAUAUAGUUUAUUCCAAACUCACAAGUGUUGGUGCUAAACUCACACUCGAUCUUCAUUCCACUCGGCAAAGGAAACUCAAAGGUGUUGGUUAUAAAUUUUUAUUUCAAUUCUCAUUUUUGUUUAUUAAUCUAAAUUUUUUAAAUGCAUUACUUUAUUAUUGUUUAGUUAUUUUUUUUGAAUGUAUAAUUUAAAUAAAUUAUUUGAUAUUUAAAAUAGAAAAAUGGUAAGGAGAGAAAAAUAGAUACCACGUAGAGGAUCAUUUCCGGUACGUGUUCCUGUAGUGCAUUCACAAGCUCCUAUCAUACCUGUUAUAGGGUUAGGGUUAGGAGAGAAAAACAGAUACCGUGUAGAGGUUCGUUUCCGGUACAUGUUCCGGUAGAGCAUUCACAAGUUCCUGCCAUAUCUGACGUACAUGCCGUACCUACUGUACCUGUUUUACCUGCAUUUCAGCCACAUCUGGAGUAUGUGCCACGAUCGGUUGGUUUAUCUGGUCAUACGAGCCCUCGUCAUCCGCCAAUUGGAAUGAGAGUGAGACCACUUUCUAGGAGGCCCCCGAUUAGCUUCAUCCACGAGACUUAGUUGGUCGACGGACCAAAAAAGCACCGGCCAUGAGAGAUGUCAAAUAUCCUCUGGAUUUUACCUAUUCUUGCUGGUUGAGUUCUUCAGAUACAAAUUCUACCGUGCAAGCUUCGUCUUUUGUCCAUGAAACGGAAUCAUCGCCGGUUUCCGAAGUUUCGGUAACGUCAAAUUUUCGACCAAACACUAUAGUAAUUUCGAGCGACGAUGAAGUCGGCGAAAAUAGCAAUGGGAUGAGUGUAAAUGAUAACUAUAGUUAAUAGAACAAUAGUUUAUCAUCAUAACUAUUAAAAAAACUUGUAUAUGAAAUUUUUGUUUUGGUAACUAUGAAAAUUAUUUUAAUUGAAUAAAAUGAUGUAAAUUAUUUUUAUUAUAUAUUGAAUGAAAUUCUAUAUUUAGGUUAGCUAAAUUAGCAUAAAAUUGAAAUUAAAAUAAGGUUAUGACAAAAUUUAGAUUGCUAUUAAUUAGAAUUAUGUCGUUUACGUACAUUCAAAAACUAAGCACGUAUUUUCUAUCUAUUUUGUAGAAUGAUCGAGGACGAUCGAAGUUAGAUGUACAAGAGAUUAGAUAAUAAGAGACAUUUACUUCAAAUUCCUCGACCUUUAUCAGGUACUCAAGAGGCCAUUUACGGACUUACGAUUGCAAACUUUAUACACGUCUCACGUUUUCAUGUAUAGAAAGUCUUUGUAAAUAUCCUUUUGCAGGUGUUAAAUGGAAUGGUAAUGCGACCCGGAUUGAGGUAGAACUUCAGUCCACCAACCUGUCUUGAUGACCAUCGGGCAGUAGGAACAGCUGGAGUGAAGACGUUAGUCGUAUCAGUGUGGGCAUCGCAGAUUUGUCGGGAUGAUGUUGUUAUGGAUGCGAGGAGGAAGAAACCAAGGAUGACAAGAUAUGAC
rnacentral:lncRNA from 1 species